rnacentral:rRNA from 1 species
CAGUAGCCGCGGGAAUACAGAGGGUGCGAGCGUUAAUUGGAUUUACUGGGCGUAAAGCGUGCGUAGGCGGCUUCUUAAGUCGGAUGUGAAAUCCCUGAGCUUAACUUAGGAAUUGCAUUCGAUACUGGGAAGCUAGAGUAUGGGAGAGGAUGGUAGAAUUCCAGGUGUAGCGGUGAAAUGCGUAGAGAUCUGGAGGAAUACCGAUGGCGAAGGCAGCCAUCUGGCCUAAUACUGACGCUGAGGUACGAAAGCAUGGGGAGCAAACAGGAUUAGAGACCCCCGUAGUCCCUGUCUCUUAUAC